rnacentral:tRNA from 1 species
GGAGAGGUGCCAGAGCGGCCGAAUGGAGCGCACUGCUAAUGCGCUGACUGGGUUACACCGGUCCGAGGGUUCGAAUCCCUCCCUCUCCG